AACAGGGGUAGCUUGCUACCCGCUGACGAGCGGCGGACGGGUGAGUAAUGCAUAGGAAUCUGCCCGAUAGUGGGGGAUAACCUGGGGAAACCCAGGCUAAUACCGCAUACGUCCUACGGGAGAAAGGGGGCUUCGGCUCCCGCUAUUGGAUGAGCCUAUGUCGGAUUAGCUAGUUGGUGAGGUAAUGGCUCACCAAGGCGACGAUCCGUAGCUGGUCUGAGAGGAUGAUCAGCCACAUCGGGACUGAGACACGGCCCGAACUCCUACGGGAGGCAGCAGUGGGGAAUAUUGGACAAUGGGGGGAACCCUGAUCCAGCCAUGCCGCGUGUGUGAAGAAGGCCCUCGGGUUGUAAAGCACUUUCAGCGAGGAAGAACGCCUAGUGGUUAAUACCCAUUAGGAAAGACAUCACUCGCAGAAGAAGCACCGGCUAACUCCGUGCCAGCAGCCGCGGUAAUACGGAGGGUGCAAGCGUUAAUCGGAAUUACUGGGCGUAAAGCGCGCGUAGGUGGCUUGAUAAGCCGGUUGUGAAAGCCCCGGGCUCAACCUGGGAACGGCAUCCGGAACUGUCAGGCUAGAGUGCAGGAGAGGAAGGUAGAAUUCCCGGUGUAGCGGUGAAAUGCGUAGAGAUCGGGAGGAAUACCAGUGGCGAAGGCGGCCUUCUGGACUGACACUGACACUGAGGUGCGAAAGCGUGGGUAGCAAACAGGAUUAGAUACCCUGGUAGUCCACGCCGUAAACGAUGUCGACCAGCCGUUGGGUGCCUAGAGCACUUUGUGGCGAAGUUA
rnacentral:rRNA from 1 species